rnacentral:lncRNA from 1 species
GGUCAGUGUCCGCUCCAGUCAUCAUAACAGGCAAGGUUCAUUGAAUCAAGGGCUUUGCCAAAAUAAGAGCCAAGAAUCCAAGACUAAAUGAGAUUGGUGUAGUUGGGGGUGUGCAUAAAAAAAAGUUUAAUUAAACAGUACUGUAGGAGGAGAGGCCAAGCACAACAGCAUUUUAUACAACCUCUGUGCUAGACUGCACAUAGUCUACCAUGUAUACCAUAUAUAUACACCAUAGAUGCUUUCUUUCCAAGUUUUCUCAUUCAUUCCAAAGCCAGCGUUUCUUUGCCAAAAAAUGUCCAAGUUCUGGAAGUCCUGCUCAAAACAGAAGGAAUACAGAGCAAUUUGUCAGAAGAAAGACUCAGACAAUCAAGUCUCUGGCAGCCUGUUCUUGAUCAAAGGCUGUUGGGCAAAGUCCUUUUGCUCGGAGACGAUGGACCAGCACGAGCACCGACAGCAAACCGUGGAGGAGGUCUCUGGGGCAGGUCUGUUUUAAAGGUUCAAAAGAUUUCCAAACAGCUGCUUCCCACCAGGCCCUGCACAGGCUUCUGCCUCAGCAGCAGCUGGGAGAAAGCCCAGUCUGGACCUACACUCACAGGGCAAAUCUCCAAGGCUGUCUAAUUACAUCUGAGAUUUCUCUGCCCCUCUAAGACACAAGGAGCAGCCAAGCAAUAAACAACGAAAAUAAUUCUGUGCUUAAACA